CCCUUAGAUGGUCUGGGCGGCACGCGCGCUACAACGAUGCAUUCAAAAAGUCUUCUGACCUUAGAAGGUUGGGUAUUCUCCAAAGUGCAUCGUGAUGGGAAUAGUUUAUUGCAAUUUUUAAUCUUGAACGAGGAAUUCCUAGUAAGUACAGGUCAUCAACUUGUGUUGAUUACGUCCCUGCCCUUUGUACACACCGCCCGUCGCUCCUACUGAUUGAGUGUCUCGGUGAAUUCUUUGAUUUUCUGUCAAUUCAGUUCACUGAUCCGACGGUGGAAAGUUGACUGAACUUUGUCAUUUAGAGGAAGGAGAAGUCGUAACA
rnacentral:rRNA from 1 species